rnacentral:rRNA from 1 species
AUUGAACGCUGGCGGCAGGCCUAACACAUGCAAGUCGAGCGAGCGGCGGACGGGUGAGUAAUGUCUGGGUAACUGCCUGAUGGCGGGGGAUAACUACUGGAAACGGUAUCUACUACCGCAUACCAUCAGAUGUGCCCAGAUGGGAUUAGCGGGUAGUUGGGGUAACGGCUCACCCAGGCGACGAUCCCUAGCUGGUCUGAGAGGAUGACCAGCCACACUGGAACUGAGACACGGUCCAGACCCCUACGGGAGGCAGCAGUGGGGAAUAUUGCACAAUGGGCGCAAGCCUGAUGCAGCCAUGCCGCGUGUGUGAAGAAGGCCUUCGGGUUGUAAAGCACUUUCAGCGGGGAGGCGUUACCCGCAGAAGAAGCACCGGCUAACUCCGUGCCAGCAGCCGCGGUAAUUC